GUCAGUGCUCAGCCCCUUCUCGUCUGUCUAAGCACUCUUCCUGGAGGAGUCUCACGCCCACUUUCUACGACCACUUCCUCGACUCUUAGCAAAGCUUUGUUUCUGCUAAAGGCCAGCAGCUGACUUUGUGUAGACCGAUCGUGUCGUACUUUCGAGGGAACUAACUCUCAUUUUAGCAUCCUCUGUGAGAGAGCGUGGAAAGUGAUGGAAUGAUCCAGAUUAAUAGGACUCAACAGCCUGGAUUUAAAUCCUAGCUCCAUCAUUUCGUAUCCACGGGCUGUUUCGUGUCCCUGUGCCUGGGUUUCUUCACACGCACGCAACAUCACCAAGAACUGAAACUUGACUGCUCAGAUCCCUGUCAGCACUCCUGCUUACCUUGCAGCUGGCCUUUUCCCCCCGAGAAUCUGAAGAAGCUCUGGAGGCUGAAGCCCGGUGACUUGGCGUUAACCUCGAAGGAGCCAGCACUGCAGCAGACCGUGCACGGGCUGGAAUUCUCCCUGGACAAGCCACUGCCGGACCACUGAGGAAGUCCAGCAAAAUGUUCAGGUCAUGCAUGCCCUUGUAUGAGAGAGAGCCAAGACUGUGGACAACGCCACCAAGAGCAGGGACAUCUUAGCUUCAGGAAACUCCAAGAGUGGUGCUGCAAGACUUUCUUCAGCUGACCUCUGGAACCCACUGGACCAGUUAAUUCUCCACAUUCAACUCCUAGCUCUUUACUUCAAUACAACUUUUGUAGUAUUAUUUCUCUGUUUUAGGCAUCCCUCUUUUAAGAUGUCUGAUCUCCAGGACCCUAAAACAACUGACCUUAGCCACCACCUCUCAACAGAUGGUUCAACUGGUUUUAUAGAAACAACCAGCAAGAAUCCUAGGGAAAUUAUUUCUUAGGCCCUGCUUCAUCCCGCUCGAGAGAAAUGACAAACCAGCUAACCACGAAGGACCGCACUGCCCUCAGAGUUUCUAAGAGAAGUCUGAUCUACAUCUUUCCCCUCAUGACUCCCAGAAGAUGACUCCCUUGUUUACCUGCCUCUAUAAACCCCC
rnacentral:lncRNA from 1 species